rnacentral:hammerhead_ribozyme from 1 species
ACACUGCUGAGGAGUCCCAAACUAGGACGAAACGGCCGUCCAGUGC